AUUUUAAAUAAAUUCUGCUCAAUGAAAUUAAUUAAAUAGCCGCAGUAAAUUAACUGUGCUAAGGUAGCAUAAUAAUUAGUUUUUUAAUUAAAAACUAGAAUGAAAGAGAAAAUGAAAAAUUAACUUUUUAAUUAUAAUAAAUAAAUAUAAAUUAAUUUAUAAGUUAAAAAUCUUAUAUAAAAUAAAAAGACAAGAAGACCCUUUAGAAUUUUAUAAAUAAAAAAAUUUAAUAAUUAUAAAUUUGAAUAUUUAUUAAGUUGGGGAGACUAUGAAAUAUUAAAAACUUUCACUUUUUUAAAACAAAAAUAAAUGAAUCUAUAAAUAUCCAGUUAACAGCCGAAUAAAAAACAAAUUACCUAAGGGAUAACAGCGUAAAAUUUCUAAAAAGAUCAAAUUUACAGAAUAAAUUACGACCUCGAUGUUGGAUUAAGAAAAAAUUAUAAAGAAGAAUUUAUAAAAAUUAGGUCUGUUCGACCUUUAAUCUCUU
rnacentral:rRNA from 1 species